GACGAACGCUGGCGGCGCGCUUAACACAUGCAAGUCGAACGGAAAGGCCUGCUUUCCCUUGUGGAUUGCGGGUACUCGAGUGGCGAACGGGUGAGUAACACGUGAGUGAUCUGCCCCCAACUUGGGUAUAAGCCUGGGAAACUGGGUCUAAUUCCCGAUAGGACUGCAGGGUGGUGCCUGUGGUGGAAAACGAUUUUCUAGUGGUUGGGGAUGAGCUCGCGGCCUAUCAGCUUGUUGGUGGGGUAAUGGCCUUCCAAGGGGGCGACGGGUAGCCGGCCUGAGAGGGUGGACGGCCACAUUGGGACUGAGAUACGGCCCAGACUCCUACGGGAGGCAGCAGUGGGGAAUAGUGCACAAUGGGCGGAAGCCUGAUGCAGCGACGCCGCGGGGGGGAUGACGGCCUUCGGGUUGUAAACUCCUUUCGACCGCGAGGAAGCCACCUGGUUGGAAGGGUGGUGACGGUAGUGGUAGAAGAAGCACCGGCUAACUACGUG
rnacentral:rRNA from 1 species